UACAUGACAGAGGGUGCACUGCAAAGGA
rnacentral:piRNA from 1 species